rnacentral:rRNA from 1 species
GACGAACGCUUGCGGCGUGCUUAACACAUGCAAGUCGAACGAAGUGGCGAACGGGUGAGUAACGCGUAAUCAACCUGCCCUUCAGAGGGGGACAACAGUUGGAAACGACUGCUAAUACCGCAUACUUAAGGAGGGGUUUGCGUCUGAUUAGCUAGUUGGAGGGGUAACGGCCCACCAAGGCGAUGAUCAGUAGCCGGUCUUAGAGGAGGUACGGCCAAAAUGGGAAUGGGACACGGCCCAGAAUCCUACGGGAGGCAGCAGUGGGGAAUCUUCCGCAAUGGACGAAAGUCUGACGGAGCAACGCCGCGUGAGUGAUGAAGGCCUUCGGGUUGUAAAGCUCUGUUAAUCGGGACGCGGUACCGGAAUAGAAAGCCACGGCUAACUACGUGCCAGCAGCCGCGGUAAUUC